ensembl:lncRNA
ACCGCGGUCCCAACUUCAGCCUCCCCGUGCCGAGGCUCAGCUCCAACAGAGGGACUGCUGCAGCCGUGGGACGGCCCUGCAUGGCCCUGGCAUGUCAUAUAUGGCAACCUUUUGCCUCGGUGACCUCAUGUUUGGCAGCAGGCCGGGUGACGCGGGCUGGGAUGAAAGCAGCUGUGGGUGUCUCGCGUGAGCUGCGGUGCAGACAGUGCUGAACGCACAGCUGGGACCUGGGGACACAUCCAGCCCCCAAGGAUGGGGGGGACCGGGGCAGUGCCACCGCUGUGGGACGCUCUGAGACCAUGCCCACAUCCUCAUUGACACGAUGACAGCUCCGAGGCCACGUGGGACCUCCUGUGUCCCUUUUGGCGGUGACCCCGCAGCUCGUGGGUCCUCACUGCUGCACCCACACCUCCGCAUCCUCGCCCCGAGAAUGGAUCGGGAUGCAGCAAAACGAAGCAGGAGGCGGCGCCUGCUCCGUGCCUCAGUUUCCCCAGCUGCAGCCUCACUUCCCACAACUCUCAGUAGCAGCUCCGUGGCUUCCUCCCAUCCUCAGGCUCCAGAGAGAGGCCCCAGAACGGGAUGGCUGCCCUUAAAAAGGCACUGGGCCGAUCAGCAGGUGCUGUGCGAGGGAUGGGGGCCGAUGCCUUUGCCAUGGUGGGGCACUGAGGUGUCCCCAGUGCUGCUCGGGGGCAGCAGACCUCCACCUCCCCCUGGGACUGGGGCUCAUCCUGCUUCCAAACCCUCCUGGAGGGAAGCUGAGGGUGCACCCACCGUACAGGGCCAGGUUUGGAAGGACCACAUGGGGCUCAACGAUGAGGGUUUGGGGUUUUGGCCAGGCUGCGUGGUGCCCAGAGGACCUUUUCCCUGUCAGGGUGAACGCAGCACCUUCAGCCUUGCACUGAAUUGGGCCCAUCUGCCCUGGGGGGUCCCUGCCCCCAAUAACUGCAACGAUGGGAGGGAAAAAAUCCCACAGAGGGAACCCCCAGGGUGGGGAUGCCGGGUCGCAGGGAUGGAGCAGCACCUCGAGGCUGUGACGCACCGCCCAUCACCUGGUGUGCAGCUGGGAUGCUGAACCUCUUCCAAAUCAGGAUAUGCCAUGGUUCUAUGACUCAGGUGCACAGCACAGCCCCGGGCCAUCCCUACAGCCACCGCCUUCCUGGGCAGGGCUGUGGCCAGAGAGGACCAAAGGCCAUCGGACUGGAGUACCUCCACCUCGCUUUUGCUGAACGUCGCUUAUAAGGACUUGUGUCUCGCCUGUUUAUCGAAGCAUAGCAUAAAAGGAACAGACUCACCAAUGGGAUGUUGCCUCCUAAGCAUCCCCACGUAGAUUUUUUUUUUUUUCCCCUUACAAUAAUUAACUGUGCUGGGUCCUACCAUCAGUCCAAGGUCAAUUUAAUGCAAUAAAACACCUUAUAUGGCCAUAUGGCUAACACACCAUCACUUAGCCUAUUUAGGGUCUUUGUGUAGAGAGGAUCCGCCUCUGAGGUUUCGUGGGCUCGUGGUAUUUAUACCAAAGCAGAUCGGG